GGACAAGGGCUCUCUGGCUGAGAUGUCUGUCAUGCCACUGACUGCCAGCAUUGAUUUGACAUAUCCAGCUGGGUGGGUGGGGGUGGGUGGGUGACCCCUUCCUCUCGCACCGCUCCACGUGAGUCCCUCCCAAAGCUGCACACUCAGUUGAUGAAGAGCACCUUCCCUGAUAGGAGGAUUGUCCUUGAAUGUGCUCCCCAGCUAGAACUUCCAAACUAGCGCUCAAGGUUCAAAAGAUACGCUCUAAAGAUAGGAGAAUGGCAAUAUUGCACUCAACAAAGUAAUCAAAGGUCCUUGGCCCAUUCCUU
rnacentral:snRNA from 1 species